UCAUUGUUGGUUCACUAGUGGAAUGCUAGCCUGCAACGCGGGAGACCCGGGUUCGAUUCCCAGCCAAUGCA